rnacentral:rRNA from 1 species
AGUGGGGAAUCUUGCGCAAUGGCCGAAAGGCUGACGCAGCGACGCCGCGUGGGGGAGGAAGGGCUUCGGCUCGUAAACCCCUGUUGCUCGGGACGAAAGCGGGACCUGGUCUCGCCUGACGGUACCGAGUGAGGAAGCACCGGCUAACUCCGUGCCAGCAGCCGCGGUAAUACGGAGGGUGCGAGCGUUGUCCGGAAUCACUGGGCGUAAAGGGCGCGUAGGCGGCUCGGUAAGCGUGUGGUGAAAGCCCGGGGCUCAACCCCGGGUCGGCCGUGCGAACUGCUGAGCUUGAGCACAGUAGGGGCGGGUGGAAUUCCGGGUGUAGCGGUGGAAUGCGUAGAGAUCCGGAAGAACACCAGUGGCGAAGGCGGCCCGCUGGGCUGUGGCUGACGCUGAGGCGCGACAGCGUGGGGAGCAAA